rnacentral:rRNA from 1 species
UACGUAGGGUGCAAGCGUUGUCCGGAAUUAUUGGGCGUAAAGAGCUCGUAGGCGGUCUGUCGCGUCUGCUGUGAAAACUCGGGGCUUAACCCCGGGCCUGCAGUGGAUACGGGCAGACUUGAGUACUGCAGGGGAGACUGGAAUUCCUGGUGUAGCGGUGGAAUGCGCAGAUAUCGGGAGGAACACCGGUGGCGAAGGCGGUUCUCUGGGCCUGUACUGACGCUGAGGAGCGAAAGUGUGGGGAGCGAACAGG